UACAGAGGUGGCAAGCGUUGUUCGGAAUUACUGGGCGUAAAGCGCACGUAGGCGGCUUGCCAAGUCGGACGUGAAAUCCCUCAGCUCAACUGAGGACGGUGCAUCCGAAACUGGCGAGCUUGAGUACUGAAGAGGAUCGCGGAAUUCCCGGUGUAGAGGUGAAAUUCGUAGAUAUCGGGAGGAACACCAGUGGCGAAGGCGGCGAUCUGGGAGAUACUGACGCUCAGGCACGAA
rnacentral:rRNA from 1 species